rnacentral:rRNA from 1 species
UUAAGCGACUAAGCGUACACGGUGGAUGCCCUGGCAGUCAGAGGCGAUGAAGGGCGUGCUAAUCUGCGAUAAGCGCCGGUAAGGUGAUAUGAACCGUUAUAACCGGCGAUACCCGAAUGGGGAAACCCAGUGUGAUUCGUCACACUAUCAUUAACUGAAUCCAUAGGUUAAUGAGGCGAACCGGGGGAACUGAAACAUCUAAGUACCCCGAGGAAAAGAAAUCAACCGAGAUUCCCCCAGUAGCGGCGAGCGAACGGGGAGGAGCCCAGAGCCUGAAUCAGCAUGUGUGUUAGUGGAAGCGUCUGGAAAGGCGCGCGAUACAGGGUGACAGCCCCGUACACAAAAGCGCAUGUGCUGUGAGCUCGAUGAGUAGGGCGGGACACGUGGUAUCCUGUCUGAAUAUGGGGGGACCAUCCUCCAAGGCUAAAUACUCCUGACUGACCGAUAGUGAACCAGUACCGUGAGGGAAAGGCGAAAAGAACCCCGGCGAGGGGAGUGAAAAAGAACCUGAAACCGUGUACGUACAAGCAGUGGGAGCACNGGGCGUUAAGUUGCAGGGUAUAGACCCGAAACCCGGUGAUCUAGCCAUGGGCAGGUUGAAGGUUGGGUAACACUAACUGGAGGACCGAACCGACUAAUGUUGAAAAAUUAGCGGAUGACCUGUGGCUGGGGGUGAAAGGCCAAUCAAACCGGGAGAUAGCUGGUUCUCCCCGAAAGCUAUUUAGGUAGCGCCUCGUGAAUUCAUCUCCGGGGGUAGAGCACUGUUUCGGCUAGGGGGCCAUCCCGGCUUACCAACCCGAUGCAAACUGCGAAUACCGGAGAAUGUUAUCACGGGAGACACACGGCGGGUGCUAACGUCCGUCGUGAAGAGGGAAACAACCCAGACCGCCAGCUAAGGUCCCAAAGUCAUGGUUAAGUGGGAAACGAUGUGGGAAGGCCCAGACAGCCAGGAUGUUGGCUUAGAAGCAGCCAUCAUUUAAAGAAAGCGUAAUAGCUCACUGGUCGAGUCGGCCUGCGCGGAAGAUGUAACGGGGCUAAACCAUGCACCGAAGCUGCGGCAGCGAACGUAUCACCCAAGACAACUUUACGGAGUUGACGAUUGACGGAGCGAAGCGACGUCAAAGCGUUCAUUAAAGUCGAGUUGGCUUAGGGAUACGUUCGUUGGGUAGGGGAGCGUUCUGUAAGCCUGUGAAGGUGUGUCGUGAGGCAUGCUGGAGGUAUCAGAAGUGCGAAUGCUGACAUAAGUAACGAUAAAGCGGGUGAAAAGCCCGCUCGCCGGAAGACCAAGGGUUCCUGUCCAACGUUAAUCGGGGCAGGGUGAGUCGACCCCUAAGGCGAGGCCGAAAGGCGUAGUCGAUGGGAAACGGGUUAAUAUUCCCGUACUUGGUGUUACUGCGAAGGGGGGACGGAGAAGGCUAUGUUGGCCGGGCGACGGUUGUCCCGGUUUAAGCGUGUAGGUGUGUGUUCCAGGUAAAUCCGGUUCACUUUAACACUGAGGCGUGACGACGAGGCACUACGGUGCUGAAGCAACAAAUGCCCUGCUUCCAGGAAAAGCCUCUAAGCAUCAGGUAACACGAAAUCGUACCCCAAACCGACACAGGUGGUCAGGUAGAGAAUACCAAGGCGCUUGAGAGAACUCGGGUGAAGGAACUAGGCAAAAUGGUGCCGUAACUUCGGGAGAAGGCACGCUGACACGUAGGUGAAGUGAUUUACUCAUGGAGCUGAAGUCAGUCGAAGAUACCAGCUGGCUGCAACUGUUUAUUAAAAACACAGCACUGUGCAAACACGAAAGUGGACGUAUACGGUGUGACGCCUGCCCGGUGCCGGAAGGUUAAUUGAUGGGGUCAGCGCAAGCGAAGCUCCUGAUCGAAGCCCCGGUAAACGGCGGCCGUAACUAUAACGGUCCUAAGGUAGCGAAAUUCCUUGUCGGGUAAGUUCCGACCUGCACGAAUGGCGUAAUGAUGGCCAGGCUGUCUCCACCCGAGACUCAGUGAAAUUGAACUCGCUGUGAAGAUGCAGUGUACCCGCGGCAAGACGGAAAGACCCCGUGAACCUUUACUAUAGCUUGACACUGAACAUUGAGCCUUGAUGUGUAGGAUAGGUGGGAGGCUUUGAAGUGUGGACGCCAGUCUGCAUGGAGCCGACCUUGAAAUACCACCCUUUAAUGUUUGAUGUUCUAACGUGGACCCGUAAUCCGGGUUGCGGACAGUGUCUGGUGGGUAGUUUGACUGGGGCGGUCUCCUCCUAAAGAGUAACGGAGGAGCACGAAGGUUGGCUAAUCCUGGUCGGACAUCAGGAGGUUAGUGCAAUGGCAUAAGCCAGCUUGACUGCGAGCGUGACGGCGCGAGCAGGUGCGAAAGCAGGUCAUAGUGAUCCGGUGGUUCUGAAUGGAAGGGCCAUCGCUCAACGGAUAAAAGGUACUCCGGGGAUAACAGGCUGAUACCGCCCAAGAGUUCAUAUCGACGGCGGUGUUUGGCACCUCGAUGUCGGCUCAUCACAUCCUGGGGCUGAAGUAGGUCCCAAGGGUAUGGCUGUUCGCCAUUUAAAGUGGUACGCGAGCUGGGUUUAGAACGUCGUGAGACAGUUCGGUCCCUAUCUGCCGUGGGCGCUGGAGAACUGAGGGGGGCUGCUCCUAGUACGAGAGGACCGGAGUGGACGCAUCACUGGUGUUCGGGUUGUCAUGCCAAUGGCACUGCCCGGUAGCUAAAUGCGGAAGAGAUAAGUGCUGAAAGCAUCUAAGCACGAAACUUGCCCCGAGAUGAGUUCUCCCUGAGACUUAGAGUCUCCUGAAGGAACGUUGAAGACGACGACGUUGAUAGGCCGGGUGUGUAAGCGCAGCGAUGCGUUGAGCUAACCGGUACUAAUGAACCGUGAGGCUUAACCUU